rnacentral:rRNA from 1 species
UACGUAGGGGGCUAGCGUUGUCCGGAAUCAUUGGGCGUAAAGCGCGUGUAGGCGGCCCGGUAAGUCCGCUGUGAAAGUCGGGGGCUCAACCCUCGGAUGCCGGUGGAUACUGUCGGGCUCGAGUACGGAAGAGGCGAGUGGAAUUCCUGGUGUAGCGGUGAAAUGCGCAGAUAUCCGGAGGAACACCAAUGGCGAAGGCAGCUCGCUGGGACGGUACUGACGCUGAGACGCGAAAGCGUGGGGAGCGAACAGG